AAUUCACCUCGAUAGGUGAGGCUCCCGCAUACAUAGAUGCCACUGCCCUUUCGUGUCCAGAGACACAAGGAGGGUUUAACAGGUAUUCCCGUUUGAAGGGUCUACCUAACGUGGCUGAGGCUUUAAGCCUCUAGGGUACGCGGUGCCAAAUCUUGAGCGAGUGGGUUGUUGU
rnacentral:sRNA from 2 species